ensembl:lncRNA
AAAUUUAUAUCUCUUGGCUCAUAAUGUGUGUGUGUGUGUGUGUGUGUGUGUGUGUGUGUGUGUGUGUGUGUGUGCGUCUCAUUUCAGGCGAUCAAAACCGGAUUUGCAGAGGUGCUGGAAUGUGAGUCUGCAGUCUUGGCUGCGGUGACACUGCCCAGGUUUAAACUACGUUGGCUGCGGACACAGGAAAGGAAGGACAACGCCAAGGCAAGUCUGCUGGCGGAGUGCCGGAAAAGUGCCCAAGAUGAACACCAGCUAAUGGGAUGAUGGCCCAGGUUUUGCAACCAAUGAUGGAAGCUUUGAAUGCAUAGUUGCAGGUGCUUCUGAUUUGCCAGGUGACUUCGAUCCCGAACAGAAGAAAGAGUUGCAGGUGCUUCUGAUUUGCCAGGUGACUUCGAUCCCGAACAGAAGAAAGAGAAAAUACACCACUGAUCUAGUGACAGUGAGGGUACCGUUAUCCUUGACCCCACUCCAGCUGAUGUUUACAAGGACACAAGUGUACCUGAGCUCAGAAGAACGGACAGGUAUUUGUAAGAUCAUUUGCAAAACUUCACAUGCUUUAAUUUGAGUGUCUAAACUUGUCCUGCAUUCAGGAAGAACUGUCUGACAGACAUUUUUUUCUACGUCUAAAAUACCAUAACAAUAAUUGAUAACUUUAUUUGAAGGUGUCUACAUAAGAGUGACAUGACACCGUCAUAACUACGAC